UACGUAGGGGGGCUAGCGUUGUCCGGAAUCAUUGGCGUAAAGCGCGUGUAGGCGGUCCGGUAAGUCCGCUGUGAAAGUCGGGGGCUCAACCCUCGGAUGCCGGUGGAUACUGUCGGGCUUGAGUACGGAAGAGGCGAGUGGAAUUCCUGGUGUAGCGGUGAAAUGCGCAGAUAUCAGGAGGAACACCAAUUGCGAAGGCAGCUCGCUGGGACGUUACUGAGCUGAGACGCGAAAGCGUGGGGAGCAAACAGG
rnacentral:rRNA from 1 species